AGAGUUUGAUCCUGGCUCAGAACGAACGCUGGCGGCGCGUUUUAAGCAUGCAAGUCGAGGGGGAUUAUGUUGGGUAACCAAUAUAUGAGACCGGCGAACGGGUGAGUAACACGUAGGUGAUCUACCUUAAGGACUAGGAUAGCCUCUGGAAACAGAGAGUAAUACUGGAUAUGCAUUUUCGUUUACGAACGAAAAUGGAAAAGUGCUUUGGCACUGCCUUAUGAUGAGCCUGCGGCUGAUUAGCUUGUUGGUGUGGUAAAGGCAUACCAAGGCAGAGAUCAGUAGCCGGCCUGAGAGGGUGAACGGCCACACUGGGACUGAGAUACGGACCAGACUCCUACGGGAGGCAGCAGUGGGGAAUCUUGGACAAUGGGCGCAAGCCUGAUCCAGCCAUGCCGCGUGAGUGAAGAAGGCCUUCGGGUUGUAAAGCUCUUUCAGCGGAGACGAUGAUGACGGUAUCCGCAGAAGAAGCCCCGGCUAACUUCGUGCCAGCAGCCGCGGUAAUACGUAGGGUGCGAGCGUUAAUCGGAAUUACUGGGCGUAAAGCGUGCGUAGGCGGCCGUGCAAGUCAGAUGUGAAAGCCCCGGGCUUAACCUGGGAAUUGCGUUUGAAACUGCGGGGCUGGAGUUUGUCAGGGGAAGAUAGAAUUUCGUGUGUAGCGGUGAAAUGCGUAGAUAUACGAAAGAAUACUUAUAGCGAAGGCGUUCUUCUGGGGCAAUACUGACGCUGAGUCACCAAAGCGUGGGGAGCAAACAGGAUUAGAUACCCUGGUAGUCCACGCCGUAAACGAUG
rnacentral:rRNA from 1 species